rnacentral:rRNA from 1 species
GACGAACGCUGGCGGCGUGCUUAACACAUGCAAGUCGAACGGUGAUGCUCCAGCUUGCUGGAGUGGAUCAGUGGCGAACGGGUGAGUAACACGUGAGCAACCUGCCCCAGACUCUGGAAUAAGCGCUGGAAACGGCGUCUAAUACUGGAUACGAAACUGGCCCGCAUGGGCAUGGUUUGGAAAGUUUUUCGGUUUGGGAUGGGCUCGCGGCCUAUCAGCUUGUUGGUGAGGUAAUGGCUCACCAAGGCGACGACGGGUAGCCGGCCUGAGAGGGCGACCGGCCACACGGGGACUGAGACACGGCCCAGACUCCUACGGGAGGCAGCAGUGGGGAAUAUUGCACAAUGGGCGAAAGCCUGAUGCAGCGACGCCGCGUGAGGGAUGACGGCCUUCGGGUUGUAAACCUCUUUCAGCAGGGAAGAAGCGAAAGUGACGGUACCUGCAGAAGAAGCACCGGCUAACUACGU